GAUGAACGCUGGCGGCGUGCCUAACACAUGCAAGUCGAACGGAAAGACAGUAAGCUUGUGCCUCUACCGUUGGCGGCUGGCGGAUGGGUGACGCGUGCAUCGCAUACCUCUAUUUCUGGGAUAACUUCGGAAAACCGGUUAUAAUACUAGAGCAUAUGUUGUACCGCUGAGUGCAACGGAUAGUGGCGGCCUUUGCGUCUGUAUUAGCUGAAUCCGCGCUGCAUUAGCUGGUUGGGAAGGUAACGGCUUACCAAGGCUACGAAGCGUGGCCGACCUGAGAGGGUGAUCGGCCACACUGGAACGGAGACACGGUCCAGACUCCUACGGGAGGCAGCAGUAGGGAAUCUUCGGCAAUGGGCGGAAGCCUGACGCAGCAAUGCCGCGUGUGUGAAGAAGGCCUUCGGAUCGUAAAGCCCUGUUAUUAGGGAAGAACAGCUGUGGAAGUAAACAUGGACGUCUUGACGGUACCUAAUAAAAAAGCACCGGCUAACUACGUG
rnacentral:rRNA from 1 species